AAGGUGAUGGAGAUAUUUCUUUCCUGUAUGAUGGUGGGCCAAGUCUUCCCAUCCUGUAAAAAAGCAACCCCCAGGCUGCAGGCAGUGGUUUUCCAGCCCUGAGUUCAGAUUGCAUUUUAUGAUCAGAGUUAACAGUUACACCUUAGCUAUUUGGUUGACCUUCUUCUCAAGCUUCUUCCUCAAGCUUUUAUUCCCCUGCAAGUCAUCUCUUCAUAUCCCACAUGGCAGUCACUGCCCUUUGGGUUGAAACAUCCAUCAAAGCUCAUCACCAGCCCGCUGCAGAGACCUCCCAGCACUGCAAGACGUCCUGCCCUGCUCUGCCAUGAAGACUGAGAACUGUCUAUAGGCAGCUAACAAACCUUCCUGGAUCUUCUGCGAGAACCAUGCUGUGUGCCACACUCAUUUGUGGGAACAAAUCAGGGGAAAAUGCUGGUCCAGAACAGCACCCU